ensembl:lncRNA
GCGGCGGGGUGGGGCGGCGCGGGAAUCUCGGAGCCCGCCGAGCCAGCCGGGCAUCCAGGCCGAGGGAAAGGCAGGAAGCGCCCGGUUUCAGACACCACCCUCAGACUAGCCGCUCAGAUCCGAGCCCGAGCGGCCGGGCGCAGCGGCUGCUUCCAGGAUCUCCGCGCAGGAGAGGAGCCGCCCCAGCGUCUGUCACUUGCGCCGACGGCCGCUGCCGAGGGCUCUCCCGGGCAAGGAACUGGGACGCGGCCCGGAAGGGGACCUGCGAGCUUCGCCUGCCCUUGCCAAGACGUGGCUCAGGGAAAGUGCGCCCCACGAUCGAACAAAUUCAACCAGAUUCCCCACCUGCGCCCCCAUCCGAGAGAACACUGGAUUCUCCGGAUGCCUCCCGCCUGGAGCACGGCCACCCCCAAGUUCUCAAGCCGACACGUUGUGAAGAUCGGUAGACCUUCGUAUACCUGGUCUGGUGCUGAUGAUGAAGAUGGGUCACCUGGUAUUCCAUCACCACCGGCUAGCCUGCCUUGGCUACAGGAGGAAAGAAACCAAGUAUUCUCCACAUCCUUCUCCUGUUCCUCAGGACCCUCAGCUCGGGCUGGAGAAUUGACCUGUCCCCUUGUUUCCUGCUGGGACGCACACUUCAAGUUCAGAGUCAGGUUCAGCAGUUUCCCCUCCUCUGCCCUCUGCCUGCACAUCAAGUCAUGGCUUCAGGGAAGUAGCAGCAGAAUCAAGACAAUGAGCUUGUCCCCUUCCUGACGAAUCCCAAUUUUGUGUGAUUGACAACAGGCUACGACCCAGAGGAUGAAGCAAGACAAUUCCUUGUCUGUUGAUGGUUGCCUGAGGGCUGGGCAUGUAACUAAGUUCUGGCCAAUAAAAUGUUAGGGAGAGUCUCCUAUUAGGCUU